rnacentral:misc_RNA from 1 species
GAUGAAGAACGCAGCGAAAUGCGAUAAGUAAUGUGAAUUGCAGAAUUCAGUGAAUCAUCGAAUCUUUGAACGCACAUUGCGCCCCUUGGUAUUCCGAGGGGCAUGCCUGUUCGAGCGUCAUUAUAACCCCUCAAGCUCAGCUUGGUGUUGGGGCCUGCUGCACUGGCAGCCCUUAAAAUCAGUGGCGGCGCCAUCUGGCUCUAAGCGUAGUAAUUCUUCUCGCUAUGGAGUCCUGGUGGAUGCUUGCCAUCAACCCCCAAUUUUUCUAAGGUUGACCUCGGAUCAGGUAGGGAUACCCGCUGAACUUAAGCAUAUCAAUAAGCGGAGGA